rnacentral:lncRNA from 1 species
AUGAGAAUUCCUGGAGAAAGGUUGUAUGGUGGUUUGUACACUUUGAGGCUUACCUGUUAUCUGCUACCCAGCAGUCGACUUGUAUCUUCUGUGCUAAUCAGUGACAGUAGUGGAACUGAAUCAUCCAUGCAUAUGGUGGAAUCUUUGAAGUUUUUAAAAGAUGAUGAUAAUCAGAUCUACUUGAAAAAUUAACUGAAUUGAUUUGGUUGGAAUACUUUUUUGUUUGUUAAUCGAUUCUUUAACAUUCAGCCACUAGGUAAGUUGAGCCAAGUAAUUUAUAUGUGGUUUGAUUUAAACGUUAUUGGAAAGCUUUGUCAAGUACAAUAUUAAGUAAGCUCUGUAUUAAAUUUUGACAGUAAUGAUUUGAGGUCAUCAAAACCUGUGAUAGAUGCCUGCUAAUGAACGUAUUUGUAAGUCUUUACUGUAUUUUUGUAAGUAUCUUAAUUUCAGUUGAGAAUAGAAAAUAUUGUCAUUUAUAGUUUGAAAGCAGUUAUUUGAUUUACUGUUUUAAUGAUGAUUUACUUGUAAUCUUGAAGCAAUGUGAGAAUAUCAGAUUUUACUUUGAGUGAGAUUUUUAUGGGUAAUUAUACUGUAUCUUAUCAAAUUCAAAUCUUAAGUAUGAACUUUCUGAGAAAAUUAACAUCAUUCUUUAUUUUAAAGCAGUUUCAUUUGACAAAAAGUUUGAUUUCUAUUGUAAGCCUAGAAAUGUUAAGUAAAGACUUGCUAAAUUCAACUUCCUUGUUGCACUGUGAUGCUGUAUAAAGCUCCCGAGGUAGGCAACUUGUAACCAGGAAGAGUUUAGGCUUUUAGCAAAUUAUUGGUACUGCCAAGACAGAAUUUAGUGGGAACAGGACUUUGGCUACUGUUAAAAUGUCAGUAUAGUAAAGCCUGCUCUGUCAAACAGAUUUUUGGCAUCAGAAGUUUAAAUGAUACUGAUUUUAGGGCUUGGCAUUUUUUUUUUAAUCCAGGCAAACUCAUGCUUUAAUUAACCCUUUACACAGUAACAGAAAAUUUGGAGAAAAAAUUGAGUGUUCCUAAUUUAGGUUUCAAGGUUUGAGUUUCUAAAAUUCUAAAUUUUAUUCAUGAUUCUAAAAUUGUACAGCUUUUUGGUUAAUUUUGCUCCAAAUAAACUGGAAGUAUUUAAAACCCA